rnacentral:rRNA from 1 species
GACGAACGCUGGCGGCGUGCCUAAUACAUGCAAGUUGAACGCUAAAGCUUUAACUGGUGCUUGCACCGACUUAAGUUUUUAGAGUAGCGGACGGGUGAGUAACACGUGGGUAACCUGCCCAUCAGAGGGGGAUAACACUUGGAAACAGGUGCUAAUACCGCAUAAUUCCUUUUACCGCAUGGUAAAAGGCUGAAAGGCGCUUCUGGUGUCACUGAUGGAUGGACCCGCGGUGCAUUAGCUAGUCGGUGGGGUAACGGCCUACCGAGGCGAUGAUGCAUAGCCGACCUGAGAGGGUGAUCGGCCACAUUGGGACUGAGACACGGCCCAAACUCCUACGGGAGGCAGCAGUAGGGAAUCUUCGGCAAUGGACGGAAGUCUGACCGAGCAACGCCGCGUGUGUGAAGAAGGCCUUCGGGUUGUAAAGCACUUUCAGCGAGGAGGAAGGUGGUGAGCUUAAUACGCUCAUCAAUUGACGUUACUCGCAGAAGAAGCACCGGCUAACUCCGUGCCAGCAGCCGCCGUAACAC